GGGGAGGGGGCUGACGGGGACCCCCCCCCGCAGACCCCCGGGACGAGGCGCUGCCGCCGGAGCUGUGCGGGGUGCUGAGCGGCUGCGAGCAUGGGCACUGCGUGCGGGUGCCCCAGGGCUUCACCUGCGCCUGCGACCCCGGCUACCGGCUGGACGCGGCACGCGUGGCCUGCGUGGACCUCGACGAGUGCUCGGAGGCCGCCCUGUGCCGGGGGGGGCGCUGCCUCAACACCCCCGGCUCCUUCCGC